UACGUACCAGAGCACAGUAGAACCUCUGUAACUUUCCCUCGAAAUAAUUGACAAGCCAGUCAUAUGGGCUUUCAUCAACUUUCCAUCCGGAUGGGUGAAAACGGUGAGAGUAAACAGAAGUGGUCUUGUUAUACUUGUUUGUGUUUCUGCUGGCCAGAGGGAGAAGGCGCUCCGGCUUUAAACAAAUGGGGGCAAUAAAUGUGAAUUGUUUUGAUCUCAAGAAAAGGGCCCCAUUGAAAGGAGUGAUUACUGGGGUAGCGAUAAAUGUAAAAGUUGACGAACUAAAGGGGAAGAUUCCCGGUGUUUGUGAUGCUCGUUGUUUGGUGCAACGCAGACAGGGUGGCAUGAGUGGUUAAACAGUCAUUGUCUGUUCUUUUGAGUUUUGAUGUUGAGUCUUUGAACCGACAAAGUGAUUCAAAGUGAGUUUUUGCAAGACAAAGUUAGAAUAUAUAUGUUAUCAUGUUCGAGCGUUUGUGCCAAAUACAUUACGUUGUUAAAGGUGUCAAGCUUAUGGGCAUGUGAUAGCAGUGUAUAGGAGGAAGAUUCCUAGGUGUGCAGAAGGGCAUAAGACAAAGGAAUGUGUAGCAUUGGGGAAAGUAGUGGUAUGUGUUCAUUUUAGGGGUGCCCAUGGGGUUGGGGAUCAGAAAUGUCCCGUGCGAGAGGCAGGUUGAGGUUUCCAUGGUUAGAGUAGUGCAGAAGUCUAGUUAACCUGCUAGUUACCUAGAGCUACUUGGAACCCUACUAAUUCCACGACUGGUCUAUCGACGUCACCGCAUGAAGAGGCUAAACAGACUCACCCCCAUCGCGACGUCCCCCAAAGGCUAACUUUCUAGCCCCUGCUAUCUGCUUGCUUGCUAACCCGGUCUGCUAACUGCUAGCCCUUGCUAACUGCUUGCUUGCUAACCCGGUCUGCUAACUGCUUGCUUGCUUACCCGGUCUGCUAACUGCUAGCUUGCCACGGUCUACUAGCUGCUAGCUUGUUUAGCCCCGACCUACUAACUGUUAUCUUGUUAGCCUGCUAACUGUCUGAAUCGCCGUGUCCCCCAGCCAGCCCAACCACUUACUGGACCCAUAUGUUCACUUGGCUACGCAUGCCUCUCUAUAAUAUCAAUAUGCCUUGUCCAUUACUGACCUGGUUAGUGAUUACUGUCUUAUUUCACUGUAGAGCCUCUAGCCCUGCUCAAUAUGCCUUAACCAACCAUGUUUUUUUUGUUUUAAUUUUUUAUUCAUAAUACAAAUAUCAACUUCCAUUGCUACAUCAAACAUGUCUAGCAAACCAAACACAGGUAAUAACAAUGCUCAAACAUACAAAAAAUAUAAAUGAAAUACAAAAAAAAAACAAUUUAAGUGCAAAUAUAUUCACUCUGAAAAUAUCUUAUUAUGAUUCAUGAAGAUGUUAUUCUUUUUGUUAUUCACUAGGGUUAGUGUUUUAAUAAGAUAAUCAAAUUCAAUCAGAAAAAUUGGUAAUUUUGGUAUAUAAUUUUGGAAUUUUUGUUUGUGUAUAAACUAUUUGGCAACAAUAAUUUAAAAAAUAAUUAACAAUCAUUUCAGUGGUUUUGUUAUCAUUGCAAUAGUAACAUAUUUUAUGUUAAAAUUAUAGGCGGUGUUCAUAAUGGUAAAUAAGUACUUUGCAAGGUUUUCCCAAAAUUCAGACACAAAUUUACAUUCAAAGAACAAGUGAGACAAGAUUCUCACCUUUUUCACAGAAAAUGCAGAUAUCAUCAAUAGCCACAAAUUUGGACAUCAGAGAAUUACAUGGAUAUAUCUUAUGCAAAAUGUUUACGUGCACUUCCUUAACUUUGUUUGGUAUACAGUAUUUGUAAGGUCUUAACCAUGCAUUUUUCCAGACAAUGUCAGGAAUAAGCAUGUUCCAGAAGAAUUUUCCUCUCGGUGUAAGUUGGUUUUGUGAAUGAAGAAUUUGUCUUAUUUAUUACGACAAGAUUUCUCAAGUAAGCCCACGCCUUCCAAUCUGAGUUCUGGAUAAACUUUGUGAUCAUUCCCAAAAUGAAGAUGACUUUUCACAAGUGUAGUUAGACCACUGGGAACGGCUUUGAUCACAGAAAUAACUCUCUGAAAGGUAUUGUAAACUCUUUCAAUGUUAUAAAUUGUUCAUAUGUGAGAAUAUUACCCUUGUUGUCAAAAAUAUCAAGGACAAAGUCAAUAUUCCUCUCAUGCCAGUUGGGGUAGGUGGUGAGGGUAGGCAACAACAUUUCCACCCCGCUGAUCCUCAACACUGGGGCCCCACAAGGGUGCGUUCUGAGCCCUCUCCUGUACUCCCUGUUCACCCACGACUGCGUGGCCAAGCACGCCUCCAACUCAAUCAUCAAGUUUGAGGACGAAACAACAGUGGUAGGCUUGAUUACCAACAACGACGAGACGGCCUACAGGGAGGAGGUGAGGGCCCUCGGAGUGUGGUGUCAGGAAAAUAACCUCACACUCAACGUCAACAAAACUAAGGAGAUGAUUGUGGACUUCAGGAAACAGCAGAGGGAACACCCCCCUAUCCACAUUGAUGGAACAGUAGUGGAGAGGGUAGUAAGUUUUAAGUUCCUCGGCGUACACAUCACAGACAAACUGAAUAGGUCCACCCACACAGACAGCAUCGUGAAGAAGGCGCAGCAGCGCCGGGGGCAAACUACCUGCCCUCCAGAACACCUACACCACCCGAUGUCACAGGAAGGCCAUAAAGAUCAUCAAGGACAACAACCCCCCGAGCCACUGCCUGUUCACCCCGCUAUCAUCCAGAAGGCGAGGUCAGUACAGGUGCAUCAAAGCUGGGACCGAGAGACUGAAAAACAGCUUCUAUCUCAAGGCCAUCAGACUGUUAAACAGCCACCACUAACGUUGAGUGGCUGCUGCCAACACACUGACUCAACUCCAGCCACUUUAAUAAUGGGAAUUGAUGGGAAAUGAUGUAAAAUAUAUCACUAGCCACUUUAAACAAUGCUACCUAAUAUAAUGUUUACAUACCCUACAUUAUUCAUCUCAUAUGUAUAUAAUGUACUCUAUAUCAUCUACUGCAUCUUUAUGUAAUACAUGUAUCACUAGCCACUUUAACUAUGCCACUUUGUUUACAUAUUCAUCUCAUAUGUAUAUGGUGCACUCAAUACCAUCUACUGUACCUUGCCUAUGCCGCUCUGUACCAUCACUCACUCAUAUCUUUAUGUACAUAUUCUUAUCCCCUUAUACUUUUGUCUAUAAGGUAGUAGUUUUGGAAUUGUUAGCUAGAUUACUUGUUGGUUAUUACUGCAUUGUCGGAACUAGAAGCACAAGCAUUUCGCUACACUCGCAUUAACAUCUGCUAACCAUGUGUAUGUGACAAAUCAAAUUUGAUUUGAUUUGGGUAAAACAAUGACUUAUUCCUUACAGUUAUGUCUGAAUUAUUCCACAAAAGAGCUUUAUGAGGGGAAAAAUUGUGCAGGAAACAUAUUUUCCAGGCCAGUAAAGCUUGUUGGUGAAACCUAGCCAAUUUAGCAGGUAAUCUUUCAGGAAUAUAAUUACAUUUCAGUAAAAAUUGAAGACCUCCCAAUUUAUUAAACACAUUAUUUGGAAUGAAAUACCAUAUUGAAUCGGUAUCGAGCAAACAUUUUUUCAACCAGUUUAUCUUGAAAGUGUUAUUUAUGUCAACAAAGUCCAACACUUCUAGACCGCCUUCAGCUCUUUGGUUAGAAAGGACAUAUUUUUUUAGUUUGUGAGACUUAUUUUUCCAGAUGAAGUCAAGAAAGGUCUUAUUGAUCUCUUUAAAAGUAGCUGGAUUUACACAUAACGAUAAUGAGGGGUACACAAAACGAGACAGUCCCUCUACCUUGGACAGAAGUACUCUCCCAAGUAUAGAAAGAUCUCCUUGUAGCCAAUUAUUAAAUAUAUUUUUAGUUCUCUUAAUUUUAGGAGAGAAAUUCAAAUGUUGUCUGACUAAGUGUUUUUUUUGACAGAUAUAUUCCUAAAUAUUUAACACAGUCCUUUACAUGAAUAUUUUCAAUUUCUUUAUCAUCAGAGUCAAAUAAACAUUUGAUUUCACAUUUAGAAACAUUCAGUUUUAAUCCUGAUGCAAUAGAAAAUGCAGUUACAGCAUUAAGGGCAUGUGCGACCUGGUCUUUCUCUUAAGAAAGGAUUAGUAUCAUCAGCUAGUUGGGAAAUGUUGAUUUCUUUGUUAAAAAUGCUUAAGCCAUACAAAUGUGCAUCAUUCAGAAUAUCUAGAGAUAGAAGUUCCACAACCAAAAUGAAUAAAAAUGGCGAAAUUGGGUAUCCCUGUCGUACACAUCCGUUGAUACUAAAUCUUAAGGUUUAGUAGGGCAGAACUAUAUAUAUAUAUCUUUGUAAAACAUGCAAAUUACUUUAAUAAAAUGUUCACCAAAUCCAAAAAGUUUAAGAGACCAAAAGAGAAAUUCAUGUUCAAUUGUGUCAAAGGCUUUACAGAAGUCCAGAAAUAGGACAACCGCAUCUGAAUCAAUUGCAUCUGAAUAAUCUAUAAGGUCCAAGACUAAACGAAUGUUAGAGCUUGUGAUGGCCCUUCAUAAAUCCUGUUUGAGUCUCAUUUAUAAUGGUAUCUAUUCCUUUCUUUAAUCUUUUGGCAUAAAGCAGAGCAAUCAAUUUGUAAUCAGUAUUUAAUAAAGUAAUUGGUCUCCAAUUGUCAA